AGGCGUAGACACCCCCUCCCGUCCUGAACAUCCAGGGGCGGGCAGCUUUGUGCGCAGCCGCACUAGACUCCAUGGGGGCCCCGCCUCCGCCGCUUGCCCCACGCUGUGCCCCCAUUGGCCGCGCCUCGCGCACAGGGAGAGGGCGGACGGAGCUCAGUGCUAAGGCGCCGAGGACGGCGCGAGAAGCGGGCGCGGGAGAGGGAAACUAGGGCAGCGGCGUGCGCUGUCCCGCUCCAUCACGCACGUGGCUGGUUCCGCCGGGCCUUCGACGGCUGUGCACAGGGAUGGGCUGCCGCGCCCCCAGGGGUAUCUCUCCAGGGCACUGUUGAAGCAUAUCACUGAGGAGAAACUGCCUCAUUCCCUGUGUGAAUCUCCUAAGAUCCAUUAUUGUUGCUGUCUUCAUCUUCAGAGAGGUUCUUCAGAUUUUCACAUGAAGGGCUCCAAGUACCUAAAAACAUGGACAUCUGUAGGAAAGCUACUUCCGAAUGGGAACAUCACAGUGGGAGAAGCCUCUGUCUACUCCUCACCCUGCAUUUGAGUCUAUGAAUUAUUUAGAGGCUUGGAAGGAUUAGAUUUUUGAUAGAUAUCAGUAAACAUCUGUUUCACCGUACACACACAAACUGACAAAAAGUAUUUCCAUCCGUAAUAACUGAAGUAUACAGGCAGGCAAAGUUAGAAAAAUGCUACUUGAGAACAUAUUAGAGUUUGAUUUAACGAUACAUACUUUGUAUAUUUUGACAUGUGACGUUGAUAAUUUGUAUUUUAAUGGUUAUAAAGUUUUAACUUUCUGAA